GAAGGAGCAGCAGCAGUGAUGUUGGCCACAGGUGGAAGUGGAGGGUCAACAACGUCUGAAACCUGGAGGGGUGGAAGAGGUGUUUCUGCUGGUGGCUGUGCUUCACGAGGAACCAAGGAAAGUAGAGAACCUGCUUGUGCUGUUCCCGGGUACUCAGUUAUGAUCCCAUCAACUUCGGCUCCUCCAACAAAAGUAGCAAUCUCCGCAAUAGGGUCCGAGAAGUAGUCAAAUGGGAGUGUGAUGUACUCAUUCCUCAGGACAUAGGCAUAGACUGAGAUAUUUUCUUUCUGAAACUCCCCAACAACAUUGGUCAAAGCUGUGGUGAAGUACUCAUUAAUCUGAAUGAUGGAUGACCUUGAAAUGGCAACUGCAUCAGCAAACUUCUUGAUUUCCUGCACUGGCUGUUUGGGUGCAUCACCGAUUUUGUCUUCAAUUGACAACACUCUCUUAUAGGUUGGCACAUUCAUGAACUUGGACAGCACUGAAGUGUCAUCGGAUUGGAUCAAUACUUGUUGAGUGGAUUGUUUGUCGAAGGUGGCAUUGCUCAAGGCAGUGGUAACGGCACCUACAAUGUCAAGCCCCUUCUUUGAUGCUAGGUAGGCAGCAUUCUGAGAAAGAAAUGUAAGCAUCAAUUUUUGGAAAUAUAAAUUGGAAAACCUUGGAGCUGAGACAUGAUCGAGAAUAGUGUCUAUGUGGGUUUAAUUUGAUUUGAUUUGACAUGGUGAACAAUAACGUUUUAUAGAAAGACACCAGAUAUUAAACUUACCUGAAUGUUGAUCAGAACUCCAGAAACUGCCAUUGUUUUUGCCAAAUCCAGAAAUUCAGGAAGGCUUGUAAAUUUACCAGCAUUCUUGUACGCUGGGUUUCUUUGGAAGUCCUGGUAAACACUUGCGAUUUGAGCUGCAAUAUGAAAGUUUCAGGCAUAAGUAGGAUUAGAAGCUUAGGAAACCUGCAUGGGUGCAGUGAAUGGAAGAAAAGAGAAGAUCUUUUUAAGAAAUUUACGCUUCAAGGUUUGAAUCUCGCUCCAUGUUAGGUCAAAUGAAAAGACUCCAGCCUUCGGUUGGAUUUCUGGGACAGUAGUAGACCUAGACAUGAAAGUAGUCAUGGCAGUAGUAUCUCCCACGAGGUCAGCUGUAUCCAAGCAAAAGGUCACUCCGUCCUUUGACAUUUGAACCGAACAGUCUAUUAUGUCUGCCCCGUCAUCUACUGCUUGCUGAUAAGCAAGAUCGGUGCUGCCAGGAUAGAUUCCACUUGCUCCAUUUUUAGUGAUGAUCAAAGCUUUUCCUGAAAAUGCACCAACUUUUCGUUAGCAAAUGACUCUUUCUUUAUCUUCUGGACUUUAUCUAAGAAAAUUUAAGGUUGUAAUAUGUGCUUUGGGAAAGAUUUAAGACUAGUAUCAUACCCUUGAUGGGCUUGCUCGCAUUUUUCUUAUUUGCAAAGCAUCCUGCGCCAAGAAGCCAAAAGCAUUGGCAGGGUCAGACCAUAACUCAAGAACCAUUGGAAUGCUGAUCUAUAUUCUUGAGCUAAACGUUGGGUUCCCAUAUGGUAUAUUUUCAAUUUACGGGAUUGUUAUGCAACUCAUGAAAUGAAACGUUCAGGGAAAGCAUAGAUUAAGGCUUGGCAGUUCGGAUAUCUCACCAAUGGCUUCUGAUGCUGUAGGGGGGAAAUCUGUAAGCACCCCAUCAACAGAAAACUCAGAAUUAUCAACAAACUGAAUGUAUUCAUUUGUCGGAUCAUAACUAUAGUUAUAGCUUGCAACAAGAUCAUUUGCGAAACCAGACGCAUAUACUUCUAGCCCUUGUUUGUGAGCAUCAGAUACAAGCGUAGUAGGAGCUCCUAAAUACUUGUUUGCCUGUACCGGCCAUAUGUAUUCUUUGGGAACAAGGAUUCCAGAUGCAAAUGACUUGAUCGAGGCAAGAUCCUGCAGCAGUAAACUGUACUUUUUAUUGGAUGUGGGUUCAAUCUCAUCUGCACCAAGGAACUGGAAGACGAGCUUUGUCUUGACUUUGUUCACUUGGCCAGCCAUGCUCUUCAAGAAACCGAUCUCAGGAGAUGAAAGGUAGUUGAUACCCAUAAGUCUCAUUGCCUUUUGAACAUAUGAUGCCGCGCUGUGGUUGUGUUGUGUAUUGAAUGAAUCAUACUGCAUACCAAAGCCAUCUUAGAAAAUAAUGAAUGAAUGAUGGUCUAGAUUGAGUUUAGACGGAGAGAGACCUGAACAUUCAACCAAAAUUGGGCUGGUUUAAUUCCCGUCACAUCAUCAACAGCGGAAAUAGGUGAUUGUAAAUCAAACAAACUUGGUCGAGAGAGUACGCCCUGAGUCACUGUUAAGAAGAUCAUCACAAAACAAAUAGCUGAUCGAUUGUAUAAUCCACAGCAAACCAUCCGUGCACUUGCUUUCCAUUUACAUCGUAGGUCUUCUGCCCCUUUGGGUAUACCAUUGCUAUAUUGGUUGAAUUAUCGAGCCUGAUAUCCGAGAGGCAUAUACCAAUGCCAUCUUUUGUUAGUUGUAGAUUGCAGAACAACACCGUAUCCGGCAGACUCAAAGUCUGUGCCAUUUGAUUUGCAAAUGAGCUCGACUCCGGAAACAGUCCUGAGAACCCGCCUCUGGCUAUCACAAGGGGCCGUUCACCUGCAGCAAGUACAAUAAAGGAUGGAUUAUUACCAUUUAGAGUUAGCCAUUUCUGUGAUGGAGCCUCUGCCAACUUUUUCCCUGAAGUUGAAUGGAUCAGCACAGAAAUGAAAAGUAAGAUCCUGAUCAUCUUCUUCUGAUGAGCCUGUCAUGGAUUAAAAAGUUACUUGGUCAAUGAACAACAUGAAACAGAAGGACAUGCAAAGAAAAGGAACAUUACAAUGACUUGCACUACUCAAAUUUCAAUUACUUUUUUUUUGUUGUUGGGGAGGGGGUAGAGCAUUUGGCAUACUUUCAAAUCUGUGAGUUAGAACUGAAGGGCAUGAAUGUAGUAGCCAUAAUAACAUGUAACUUCCUUGCAUAUUAAUGCAGACAGUUUUUCUU